AUGGUGCAGUUCGGCGGCGAGGUCGUCAACACGCGCCCCUCGGGCUCCCACACGCCCACGCAUAUGGGGAGCGGCCAGUUCCCGCGCGAGGGAUUCAACCGCGCCGCCUACUUCCGCAACGUCCAGGUGGUUGACUGGGACAACAACCUCUGGGGCAACUACUUCUACUACGGCGGGCCGGGCCGCAACGUGCACUGCCCCUAG
rnacentral:rRNA from 1 species